CCGGAAGUACGCACGGCGCUGCCACGGGCUCCGCCCCCAAGCAGAAGGACCAAUCAUCGCUUUGGAAUGUCGGCAAGCACUUCCGCGGGGCGGAGCCGGGGGAGGUGCUGGGGGAAGCGGCCUCAGCCCCGCGAGACAUCCUGCAGCGUGCGCUCCCUCCUCCCCUCCCCGGCUCCGAACUUGGGCGUGGCGCGCCCCCGUUGCCUAGGCGACCCCCGUGCGCUCCUCCCACGACGCGCGGGUUUGCGAGGCCCCAGCGGAUCUUGAAUUCAAGUCUCGACGCGGUCCGUUGAGUCACAGAGUGACCUUGAAGCAUCUUUCCUGCAGCGCCAGGACCCAGGCCUCAGUGCUCCAAGCUGGAGUAUGGAACAUGGUGAAAGUGAUGCUGGGCCAGUUCUGGGCCUCCUGACCUGUGUAGCCCUGAGCCACCAUGGAAUAAAUCCAGGCCACUCCAGUGGAAGGACCCUGAGACGUCCAGCCCAAGUCAAGAUAACAUCAACCCCAGCAGCCAUCUGCUUGCCACGGCCUGAGAGAACCCACGUGAGAACCACUCAGCCAAGUCCAGUCAACCCACAGAACUGUGAAUGAGAAUAAUAAACUGUUGUUUUUAAGCCACUAAA